GGUGAGAAUGAUGGGUCAGGGACGCGUGCGACGCUAGGCUCCGACCUAUGGAGGAGUCCAGCUCCUUCGACGUGGCGCCCAGGCAACCAUUCUGCAUAUCUGACACGAAACUGCUCACUGGAAUUCAACGCACUCAAUGGAUGCCAAGGUGAAUUUCAAUCGGAGACAACCGGCGCUCCGGGAAACUGGACAAUGGAAUACUUCCAAGAAAUCUCGACAUGCUUAAACAAUUGGGCCUUUGAAAGGAAUUCGUACCGCGACACUCGACGCGUGGAACGAUAAGCUGUUUGAAGAAAUCGUGAUUCAGGAUCGAACGAUUGUCCGAGGUGUACCGGAGGGAAAAGAAAAUCAGUGAAAAAUGCGAAGACGUGAGUCAGGAAGGAGUGCGUACGUGCACGGCGUGGAAUAUUCAUCGGUGCCCUGCGGCACGUGUAACUGGAACUGGCGGUAACUAGACACCGAUAAGUUGAGCACGCUGCACUCCGACAACAGAGAGAACCGUCGCUAGUGGAAAAGAGAGGCUUUGGAACAAAAGGAAAACAAGGGAGCAGGGUUUUUCAGAAAAAUCUUUGCUCCAGUUUCAAGAAUAAAGGAUCCGCUAUCAAAAACUUGAUCAUAAAACCUGAAAUUCGAUGGCUGUUAUCGUUUCGACACGCUGCAAAUGGGAAUAUCUAGCCCAUGAUACGUUAAUACUCGCAAACGUGAUACUCCGUUAACGUACUGCUUCGGGGUACAUGAUUUUCAGUAUGGAGAUACAGUCUCAUCAUUUGAGACCCAUGUUUUCACAGCAGCGACAUGGUAUUGGAUUUUCAAUUAAAUAUUAGGGUCAGCAUAGAGAUGAAAAAAAAGAAUAUUCUUAAAUUUCUAUAUGAUUAUAUCAAGAAUUUACAGAUUAUAUUUUUAUGAACCUAAAGAGGGUUUUCAUAGCAGCGACAUGGUAUUGGAUUUUCAAUUAAAUAUUAGGGUCAGGAUAGAAAUGAAGAAAAAGAAUAUUUUUACAUUGCUAUAUGAUUAUAUUUGUUAUGAACCUAAAGGGGGUUUUCAUAGCAGCGACAUGGUAUUGGAUUUUCAAUUAAAUAUUAGGGUUAGAAUAGAAAUGAAGAAAAAGAAUAUUUUUACAUUGCUAUAUGAUUAUAUUUGUUAUGAACCUAAAGGGGGUUUUCAUAGCAGCGACAUGGUAUUGGAUUUUCAAUUAACUAUUAGGGGUAGAAUAGAAAUGAAGAAAAAGAAUAUUUUUACAUUGCUAUAUGAUUAUAUCAAUAAUUUACAGAUUAUAUUUGUUAUUAGCCUAACCUAACCUAAAGAGGGCCAACAUGGGUCCACGAGAAAGGAACACAUGGAUAUCAUAUCACGUGUCCUCGUUCGACAAGCGAUAUUGACCUGUGCUAGAAGAGCGUACAUGUACACAGAGGAGCGUGUCGUGGAUCCAAGGUGCGCAAGCAAGCAACGAGAUCGCGAUAACGUAAAACGGUUCGCCAACACACCUGACUGCAACUGGAGAUCCUUUGCUACGCGACACCUACGAGACCGCAUCUGCUCUCGUCACGGGAUCCCUUGUUUCUGUUCGUACACGACAAACGAUCGUCAUUGGAAAAACAUUGCUGUUAUAGAAAAUUCGUCAACGGAAAGUCUAUACCGUUUUAACGACGCUCGACGAUCGAGAAGAGAUUUUGCAACGAACGACGGAAAAGAAAAAAAUGCUGGGUUCGGCUAUCGCGAAAAAAUCGUGACGUAACUAGGAUUGCGAAAAUUGGCCUUCGUCGAGGAGGUAUUGCCGUAACCGAUUCCAACGUUUAUCGGAGUUCUGCCGACGUUUCACCGAGUCCGCAGAUUCACGAAAUGAGUUCACCGUUCUUGGAAACCGAGCUGCGUUUAAUAAGGUCAUGGAUCCUCAAUUAAGAAAACUCCUUUGUUCAAACAUUCGCUAUAAUCGAGUCUACGUUAAUCUCUCGACGCUAAUUAGUAUGUUUUUUUUUUUUUUUUUUUUUAAGUUUAGAUUAGAAUUACGGCUUAUCCGAGCCUUCUGUAAAGUUCAAUGAGAAAUGGGGUUAGGCCACCCUGAAGUCUACAGGCGAAUUGUUUUCUCGAACUGUUCCGAUGACAAAUCUUCAGGCGACCUGGUCAAAGAGCAAAAAAGCGGCGGACGAUGAGAGGGAGAUCUGCGAUUUGCAGAGUGAUGUCACGACGUAUUGUAUUUCGCUUAUCGGCGCCGGAUCCCGAUUCCUCGUGGAACUCGCAGCAUUUCACGAAUGCGAAUGCCACGUUUUCCAACGACAACGACCACCGAGACGACAACCUUCGUGUCAAGGAUCGACUUUGCUCCAGUCUAAUCGAUGUACCACCUCCAUCGUUGUUUUUUUUCAUCCAUUUUUGUCAAUCGAUGCAGCAAAGUCUUUUCAUCUGACCCUUCGUCUCGUUAUCAGGGCCCCCAUGUAUCGGGGCCUUGACAUACAAAUGAAAAAUUGGAGCCCUGCUUAUUAUAGCAUGCAUCGUGUCAUUGUUUUAGAGGCAGUCGACUUCUCUAGCUGUAUUUUUGUACUUGUUAUAUUUAUACGUCCCUGACGAAUGUUAUGACAAUUCGAGGUUGCAGCAUAGUUAUUGUUUUCAAAACAAUUUUUUGUACACCUGUGUACUUUAUGGAGAGAGGAGUUUGUGUGGACACAUACAACUUGCAAAGACUCAUCUGCAUGCAUCAGGGAGUUAUAACUUCCUGAAUGGGUAUAGGCCCUAUACCCUAUACUAUUGGGUAAGAUGGUCAAAAGUGCCCUCACACCGACUUGCAAUGGCUCAUUCGAUAACUUAUCAAGAAAAAACAGUCUGUGCCAAGUUUCAACCCUGUAUCUCAUC